rfam:Wenxinia marina DSM 24838 genomic scaffold scaffold_WENXMA_3, whole genome shotgun sequence.
GGGUCCGCAGUUCACCCAGGCGUCGCCGGCCGCAGGGCCAAGCUGAACCUGCCG